rnacentral:rRNA from 1 species
GACGUAGGGCGCAAGCGUUGUCCGGAUUUAUUGGGCGUAAAGAGCUCGUAGGCGGCUUGUCGCGUCGACUGUGAAAACCCGCGGCUCAACUGCGGGCCUGCAGCCGAUACGGGCAGGCUAGAGUUCGGUAGGGGAGACGUGGAAUUCCGUGGUGUAGCGGUGAAAUGCGCAGAUAUCAGGAGGAACACCGGUGGCGAAGGCGGAUCUCUGGGCUGUUCUGACGCUGAGGCGCGAAAGCUAGGGGAGCGAACAGG